rnacentral:rRNA from 1 species
AUUGAACGCUUGCGGCAGGCCUAACACAUGCAAGUCGAACGAGUGGCGGACGGGUGAGUAAUGUCUGGGAGACUUCCUGCUGGAGGGGGAUAACUACUGGAAACCGUACCUAAAACCCCAUACGAUCGGAGGUGUCCAGAUGGGAUUAGCUAGUAGGGGGGGUAAAGGCUCACAUAGGCGACGUUCCCUAGCUGGUCUGAGAGGAUGACCAGCCACACUGGAACUGAGACACGGUCCAGACGCCUACGGGAGGCAGCAGUGGGGAAGAUUGCACAAUGGGCGCAAGCCUGAUGCAGCCAUGCCGAGUGUAUGAAGAAGGCCUUCGGGUUGUAAAGUACUUUCAGCGGGGAGGCGUUACCCGCAGAAGAAGCACCGGCUAACUCCGUGCCAGCAGCCGCGGUAAUUC